rnacentral:rRNA from 1 species
GAUGAACGCUGGCGGCGUGCCUAAUACAUGCUUUUCGAGCGAACGGACGAGAAGCUUGCUUCUCUGAUGUUAGCGGCGGACGGGUGAGUAACACGUGGAUAACCUACCUAUAAGACUGGGAUAACUUCGGGAAACCGUAGCUAAUACCGGAUAAUAUUUUGAACCGCAUGGUUCAAAAGUGAAAGACGGUCUUGCUGUCACUUAUAGAUGGAUCCGCGCUGCAUUAGCUAGUUGGUAAGGUAACGGCUUACCAAGGCAACGAUGCAUAGCCGACCUGAGAGGGUGAUCGGCCACACUGGAACUGAGACGCGGUCCAGACUCCUACGGGAGGCAGCAGUAGGGAAUCUUCCGCAAUGGGCGAAAGCCUGACGGAGCAACGCCGCGUGAGUGAUGAAGGUCUUCGGAUCGUAAAACUCUGUUAUUAGGGAAGAACAUAUGUGUAAGUAACUGUGCACAUCUUGACGGUACCUAAUCAGAAAGCCACGGCUAACUACGUGCCAGCAGCCGCGGUAAUACGUAGGUGGCAAGCGUUAUCCGGAAUUAUUGGGCGUAAAGCGCGCGUAGGCGGUUUUUUAAGUCUGAUGUGAAAGCCCACGGCUCAACCGUGGAGGGUCAUUGGAAACUGGAAAACUUGAGUGCAGAAGAGGAAAGUGGAAUUCCAUGUGUGGCGGUGAAAUGCGCAGAGAUAUGGAGGAACACCAGUGGCGAAGGCGACUUUCUGGUCUGUAACUGACGCUGAUGUGCGAAAGCGAGGGGAUCAAACAGGAUUAGAUACCCUGGUAGUCCACGCCGUAAACGAUGAGUGCUAAGUGUUAGGGGGUUUCCGCCCCUUAGUGCUGCAGCUAACGCAUUAAGCACUCCGCCUGGGGAGUACGACCGCAAGGUUGAAACUCAAAGGAAUUGACGGGGACCCGCACAAGCGGUGGAGCAUGUGGUUUAAUUCGAAGCAACGCGAAGAACCUUACCAAAUCUUGACAUCCUUUGACAACUCUAGAGAUAGAGCCUUCCCCUUCGGGGGACAAAGUGACAGGUGGUGCAUGGUUGUCGUCAGCUCGUGUCGUGAGAUGUUGGGUUAAGUCCCGCAACGAGCGCAACCCUUAAGCUUAGUUGCCAUCAUUAAGUUGGGCACUCUAAGUUGACUGCCGGUGACAAACCGGAGGAAGGUGGGGAUGACGUCAAAUCAUCAUGCCCCUUAUGAUUUGGGCUACACACGUGCUACAAUGGACAAUACAAAGGGCAGCGAAACCGCGAGGUCAAGCAAAUCCCACAAAGUUGUUCUCAGUUCGGAUUGUAGUCUGCAACUCGACUACAUGAAGCUGGAAUCGCUAGUAAUCGUAGAUCAGCAUGCUACGGUGAAUACAUUCCCGGGUCU